ACAGAGGUCCCAAGCGUUGUUCGGAUUCACUGGGCGUAAAGGGUGCGUAGGUGGCAAGGUAAGUUUGGUGUGAAAUCUCCGAGCUCAACUCGGAAACUGCAUUGAAUACUACUUGGCUUGAGGGUCGGAAGGGAGACUGGAAUUCUCGGUGUAGCGGUGAAAUGCGUAGAUAUCGAGAGGAACACCAGUGGCGAAAGCGAGUCUCUGGACGACACCUGACACUGAGGCACGAAAGCUAGGGGAGCAAACAGGAUUAGAUACCCUGGUAGUCCUAGCCGUAAACGGUGCACAUUUGCUGUAAAAGGAAUCGACCCCUUUUGUGGCGUAGCUAACGCGUUAAAUGUGCCGCCUGGGAAGUACGGUCGCAAGAUUA
rnacentral:rRNA from 1 species